rnacentral:rRNA from 1 species
AGCGAACGCUGGCGGCAGGCUUAACACAUGCAAGUCGAGCGGGCACUUCGGUGUCAGCGGCAGACGGGUGAGUAACACGUGGGAACGUACCCUUCGGUUCGGAAUAACGCUGGGAAACUAGCGCUAAUACCGGAUACUCCCUUUUGGGGAAAGGUUUACUGCCGAAGGAUCGGCCCGCGUCUGAUUAGCUAGUUGGUGGGGUAAUGGCCUACCAAGGCGACGAUCAGUAGCUGGUCUGAGAGGAUGAUCAGCCACACUGGGACUGAGACACGGCCCAGACUCCUACGGGAGGCAGCAGUGGGGAAUAUUGGACAAUGGGCGCAAGCCUGAUCCAGCCAUGCCGCGUGAGUGAUGAAGGCCUUAGGGUUGUAAAGCUCUUUUGUCCGGGACGAUAAUGACGGUACCGGAAGAAUAAGCCCCGGCUAACUUCGUG